CUAAGGCUCCAGAGGAAGCCACGGCUAACUCUGUGCCAGCAGCCGCGGUAAUACAGAGGCGGCAAGCGUUGUUCGGAAUUAUUGGGCGUAAAGAGCACGUAGGCGGUCUUGCAAGUCAGUUGUGAAAGCCUCCCGCUUAACGGAAGAAUGCCAGCUGAUACUACAGGGCUUGAGUACGGGAGGGGAGAGUGGAACUUCUGGUGGAGCGGUGAAAUGCGUAGAUAUCAGAAGGAACGCCGGCGGCGAAAGCGACUCUCUGGCCCGAAACUGACGCUGAGUGUGCGAAAGCUAGGGGAGCAAACGGGAUUAGAUACCCCGGUAGUCCUAGCCGUAAA
rnacentral:rRNA from 1 species